GCAAGCCUGAUGCAGCCAUGCCGCGUGUAUGAAGAAGGCCUUCGGGUUGUAAAGUACUUUCAGCAGUGAGGAAGGUGGGUAUGUUAAUAGCAUAUUCAUUUGACGUUAGCUGCAGAAGAAGCACCGGCUAACUCCGUGCCAGCAGCCGCGGUAAUACGGAGGGUGCGAGCGUUAAUCGGAAUUACUGGGCGUAAAGCGCAUGCAGGUGGUUUGUUAAGUCAGAUGUGAAAGCCCGGGGCUCAACCUCGGAAUUGCAUUUGAAACUGGCAAACUAGAGUACUGUAGAGGGGGUAGAAUUUCAGGUGUAGCGGUGAAAUGCGUAGAGAUCUGAAGGAAUACCGGUGGCGAAGGCGGCCCCCUGGACAGAUACUGACACUCAGAUGCGAAAGCGUGGGGAGCAAACAGGAUUAGAUACCCUGGUAG
rnacentral:rRNA from 1 species